AACUAACCUCAUGUAAACUAAACUCAGGUAAACUAACCACAGGUAAACUAAUGAUGACAGGUAAACUCAACUCAGGUAAACUAAACUCAGGUAAACUAAACUCAAGUAAACUAAUGAUGACAGGUAAACUAACGUCAGGCAAACUAAACUCAGGCAAACUAAACUCAGGUAAACUAAACUCAGGUAAAUUAACCGCAGGUAAACUAAUGAUGACAGGUAAACUAACGUCAGGUAAACUAAACUCAGGUAAACUAAUCUCAGGUAAACUAACCGCAAGUAAACUAAUGAUGACAGGUAAACUAACGUCAGGUAAACUAACCUCAGGUAAACUAACGUCAGGUAAACUAACCUCAGGUAAACUAACGUCAGGUAAACUAAACUCAGGUAAACUAACCUCAGGUAAACUAACCUCAAGUAAACUAAUGAUGACAGGUAAACUAAACUCAGGUGAACUAAACUCAU